rnacentral:rRNA from 1 species
GAUGAACGCUGGCGGCGUGCCUAAUACACGCAAGUCGAGCGAACGGACGAGAAGCUUGCUUCUCUGAUGUUAGCGGCGGACGGGUGAGUAACACGUGGAUAACCUACCUAUAAGACUGGGAUAACUUCGGGAAACCGGAGCUAAUACCGGAUAAUAUUUUGAACCGCAUGGUUCAAAAGUGAAAGACGGUCUUGCUGUCACUUAUAGAUGGAUCCGCGCUGCAUUAGCUAGUUGGUAAGGUAACGGCUUACCAAGGCAACGAUGCAUAGCCGACCUGAGAGGGUGAUCGGCCACGCUGGAACUGAGACACGGUCCAGACUCCUACGGGAGGCAGCAGUAGGGAAUCUUCCGCAAUGGGCGAAAGCCUGACGGAGCAACGCCGCGUGAGUGAUGAAGGUCUUCGGACCGUAAAACUCUGUUAUUAGGGAAGAACAUAUGUGUAAGUAACUGUGCACAUCUUGACGGUACCUAAUCAGAAAGCCACGGCUAACUACGUG